rnacentral:rRNA from 1 species
CCCUUAGAGUUUGAUCCUGGCUCAGAUUGAACGCUGGCGGCAUGCCUAACACAUGCAAGUCGAACGGCAGCGCGGGGAGCUUGCUCCCUGGCGGCGAGUGGCGGACGGGUGAGUAAUGCAUAGGAAUCUGCCCAGUAGCGGGGGAUAGCCCGGGGAAACCCGGAUUAAUACCGCAUACGCCCUACGGGGGAAAGCAGGGGAUCUUCGGACCUUGCACUAUUGGAUGAGCCUAUGUCUGAUUAGCUUGUUGGUGGGGUAAUGGCCUACCAAGGCGACGAUCAGUAGCUGGUCUGAGAGGACGAUCAGCCACACCGGAACUGAGACACGGUCCGGACUCCUACGGGAGGCAGCAGUGGGGAAUAUUGGACAAUGGGGGAAACCCUGAUCCAGCAAUGCCGCGUGUGUGAAGAAGGCCUGCGGGUUGUAAAGCACUUUCAGUUGGGAAGAAACAGCAAUCGGUUAAUACCCGGUUGUCUUGACGUAACCAACAGAAGAAGCACCGGCUAACUCCGUGCCGGCAGCCGCGGUAAUACGGAGGGUGCAAGCGUUAAUCGGAAUUACUGGGCGUAAAGCGUACGUAGGCGGUUGAAUUAGUCGGAUGUGAAAGCCCCGGGCUUAACCUGGGAAUUGCAUUCGAUACUGUUCAGCUAGAGUGUGGAAGAGGGAAGUGGAAUUCCAGGUGUAGCGGUGAAAUGCGUAGAUAUCUGGAGGAACAUCAGUGGCGAAGCGACUUCCUGGUCCACACUGACGCUGAGUACGAAAGCGUGGGGAGCAAACAGAUAGAUACCCUGGUAGUCACGCCGUAAACGAUGAGACUAGCCGUUGGAUCAUCUGGAUUCAGU